CUCACUCCUCUUUUGAAAACUGGGCCAACUUCCAUCUUCAACAUCUUCAUCUUCUAUCUUCAACCUCUGCAUGGCUCGUCCGAUGGAAAAAAUUGUUGACAUCAACGACACCAGGGAGUUGUGGAAAGUGGCGGUGAGAGUUGCCCAUAAUUGGAAGGUAGUAUCCAACAACAAGGAGCACUUUGAGACGAUCUUCCAAGACAGAGAGAUGUAGAAGAUUUUUUUGAAAGAAAAAAAGAAAGAGAGAUUUACAAACGAAUCUGGAAAGUUAGGGUUUCGAUGAAAGUUAGGGUUUUGAUUCUGGAUGUGCUUCAGAUGAAGAGGACAUGAGUUUUCUUGUCGCCGCAUUCUCUCCCUGACUUCAGGUAACUUCAUUUCUUCUUUUCGACCCGGUUUCAUCUUCUGUAUUGUGAAGGAACGUGAUUUUCUGUUGUUGAUUUGGUUGAUGUUGUUGUUGUUGUUUGAAGGUAAAUAAGUAUUGUGGAUGAGGAUGAUGAACACAAAUACCCAAAUGCUAUAACCAAUUUGUAUUCUGGAUGUGCUAACAAUAUAAUCGAUUUGUAAUUCCUUUAUAAAAUUUUGGUUGUGUUUUCUCUUUAAACUAAUUACCCAGGUCCCGCAAUUCUCACUCUGUCAAUUGUUUUUAUCUUAUAUACCACACUGAUUUCUUUUGCAGGAUGAAUAUUUUUAUCAGUUCACAUAUUCUAGCUUCAAGGAACAUUUAUUUGUGUAAAUAUUGAGAAAUGUCGUGCCUGGCGGAAGAAAAGAAAUAGAUACAGUUACCGUUUUGGAUAAAGCUGUACUCUGGCAGAUAAAAAUGAAACGCUUUGUGGUGAAGUGAAAUGGACGGGAAACCUCGCGAUGUGGGAUAAAUCACAGUUUGAAAGAAUACGCACCAGGGAUAUCCUACAGAAACAUUAGGGCGGUUUCUCAAAGGUAGGGACGGGAAUGUUGCCAAAGCUCAUAAAAUGGUUGAGAAGGCACACGAUGGAGACAAGUGGAUUUGAUUUGUUGAAACUCAUGAAAUAUUAUUAGAUCUGUUUGUAGGAAAGAGUGGGAAAAUAUGGAAAACCAGGUGGUGGAAGCGAACCUGAGAACAUUAGCUUACCAGAAGAUGAUACAUCUGCCAUGAAAUAUGUAAGCCUCUUUUUUGUUUCGUUCAUAGAAUGGAGUAACGAGUAAUUAUCCUACUUUUCACUUUGGAUGGUGUUUUUGUUGACGUUAAAACAGUCGUGGCCAUUACCAUUCGAGUUGGUUUCGGUACAUAUCAAAGUCAUUACAUGUUAUUGAGUUUUAAUUUCUCGGUAAAGUUGUUUCCUUUUCAAAGUGUUAUCUGUCGAACAUGAUUCGUGUUAGAAAAUAGAACCAAUCAAUUUGUUUAAAUAGACUGUUUUACGGCAAGAGUUAACAUGCUAUUUGAAUAUUGUUUAAAUGAGGAAUUUCAGUGAUAUGUUGAUGAUAAAUCCAAGACAGCCGGCACCCAAACUAUUCAACAAAGGUUUACGCUAUGCACCAGAAAAAUGUGUUUCUUUCAUAAUCAAGGAAUUAUGAUGAUAUGGGCAUUGCAUAGAGGACAAAGAAGAAUCCUUUUUCACAACAUUUAUGUAGAUAUGGAAAGACCUUGACAGCACAAACAGUGGUCUCCAGCUUGAUAUACUACAGAUUUGAAAUCGGCAACUUAAAUUUUCUUCCAAAUUAUAAUUCUUUGAACUAAAAAUUAGUUAUACUGUUUGUAUUUCUAUUUUCUAAUUAAGUGAUUGCUUUCUAUCUUUGUACAGGGAAGAUGCUACCCAUAUAUUCCUACAACAAGAAUAUGUUGAUGAAGAAAUGUUGAUUCCUAAAAAUACCUCGGUGUUUAUUAGAUGGGUUCCAGGGCGGUCAGGAUUACCAAUUUAGACAAGAGGUGAAAUAUAAGGUGGUGGAAGCUGAACCUGAGAACAUUAGCUUAUCAGCAGAUGAUACAUCUGCCAUUACAAAGUUAAGCUCAGUUUCGGUCGUUGUUGUCUCGGGUGAAACUGGUUGUGGUUAGACUACACAACAUCCUCAUGAGUGUACAUGGUCUGGAGUCAGGAUGUUAUUUUUGGACUCGAUGUCAAUCGGGAAGGAAGAGAAGUGGCUUGGGCGUGGUUUAAGGACUAAAACCAAAGAGCAUGCUUAUUUCAGGGAGUAAAUCAGAAUUAUCUUACUUAUUUUGCAACAAAAGAAGCUAUGUUGUUGUGUUAGUUAAGGCAAAUUGUGUGUCUGGAAAGAGUCUUGGAGUUAGCUGAGACGAAUAAGGUACGUACUAGAUGAUGUCAAGUAGUAGGGAUACUCAUUAGUGUUAUAAUUGCAUGAAGUCGGUCCCCCACCUGCAUCGCGGUCCUCCAUAGUCGCAAUUCCUAUUGUCAAGAUUGCGUCGAAGCAUCUUCGGUAGGUCCAUCGUGUCCGGUAUGCAAAGAUGACAUUGAGCUGGGGACUGAUGCAAAACAAAUGUCGUCUAGGCAUAUGCAUGUUUUUAAUACCAUUGGUCAUGAUAUAUUGAAUUUGGUUGGGUUUGUUAAUAUAUUAUUACUUGUGAUGAAGUUCAUCUUUGAAGUGAAGUUGGAAAAGAAUAUACUUUGCAUUUCCUCUUGAUUAUGCUUUCCACAAGUCAGGAGGCUGCAAAUACUUUAGUUCCCCUUAUACAGUGGUGCAAUCUGUUUUUUUCUUCUUCUAGCGAAUGAGUUAUGAGAUUAAUUGCAGGUUUCAGAAGCCACUUAUCUUGAACUUUUUCUAUUUGUGCUUGAACUAAUUUCACCAAUUUUAUUAACUGAAAAAACAAAGCAGACUAAGCUACCAUAAGCUUAAGAUAGCAGCCACAAGCAUCUUCAUGGAAAAACAAAUCCACCUGAGGUGGCACAUGCUCCACCAAAGCACUUGAGCAAGAUCCAAAAUGUCAAUUAUUAGCUAUAGUGUUUUUCAAUAGUCUAACAACA